rnacentral:rRNA from 1 species
CUACGAAAGGUGCAAGCGUUGUUCGGAAUUACUGGGCGUAAAGCGUACGUAGGCGGUUCGUUAAGUUAGAUGUGAAAGCCCCGGGCUUAACCUGGGAACUGCAUUUAAAACUGGCGAACUAGAGUUGAGUAGAGGGGAGUGGAAUUUCAGGUGUAGCGGUGAAAUGCGUAGAGAUCUGAAGGAACACCAGUGGCGAAGGCGACUCCCUGGACUCGAACUGACGCUGAGGUACGAAAGCGUGGGUAGCAAACGGGAUUAGAAACCCUAGUAGUCC